rnacentral:tRNA from 1 species
GCAUUGGUUCAGUGGCGGAAUUCUUGCCUUCCAUGCAGGAGACCUGGGUUUGAUUCCUGGCCAAUGCA